AGUCUGUUUCAGGGCGGGGUGCAAUUCCCCACCGGCAGUGAUGCGAAAGCGAGUCUGCGCGCCGGGGCUUCGGCUCCCGGCUGAUUCGGUGCAAAUCCGAAACCGACGGUAUAGUCCGGAUGAAAGAAACGGUGC
rnacentral:ncRNA from 2 species